UCCCAGGUGGCUCAGUGGUAAAGAAUCUGCCUACCAAAGCAGGAGACAUGGGUUCAAUCCCUGUGUUGGGAA
rnacentral:tRNA from 1 species